GACGUAGGGCGCGAGCGUUGUCCGGAUUUAUUGGGCGUAAAGAGCUCGUAGGCGGCUCGUUGCGUCGGCUGUGAAAACCCGCAGCUCAACUGUGGGCUUGCAGCCGAUACGGGCGGGCUUGAGUUCGGUAGGGGAGACUGGAAUUCCUGGUGUAGCGGUGAAAUGCGCAGAUAUCAGGAGGAACACCCGGUGGGCGAAAGGCGGGUCUCUUGGGCC
rnacentral:rRNA from 1 species